rnacentral:rRNA from 1 species
GACGUAGGGUCCGAGCGUUGUCCGGAGUUACUGGGCGUACAGAGCGCGCAGGCGGUCGUUCAAGUCGAGUGUGAAAGCCCCCGGCUCAACUGGGGAGGGUCAUUCGAUACUGAUCGACUCGAAGGCAGGAGAGGGUAGUGGAAUUCCCGGUGUAGUGGUGAAAUGCGUAGAUAUCGGGAGGAACACCAGUGGCGAAGGCGACUACCUGGCCUGUUCUUGACGCUGAGGCGCGAAAGCUAGGGGAGCAAACGGG